AGUCCCCUUCUGACACGUCAACACCAGAGAGACAUGCCUUACUCACAGGGCUAGGCCCAAGGAGUUUGCUGACAAGGCUUUUAACAAAACAAUAACUAAUCGGGUGCAGUAUUGCUCUACAAUAUCUAUCUAUCCCAGUCCAAAAUGAGGAUAGAUGCAGCUGAUUAUUCUCAAAUAAUGGGAUUUCCGGUUAAUAAAUUGACAUGUCCGUAUUUCAUGCAGCCGUUCUUGUAAGCAGAUCUCCGUGCAAAAAUGUUUAUGCAGAAGAGCAGGAUGAAGCUGGAAGAAAUUUAACAGGCAGGAAUUAUCCAAUUAAGAGUCGUGUAAGCAUUUGGAAUUAGUUCUAAAGGCUCCGUAGAAAGACUCUACUGCAGUAAACAUCUCAUCGUCAUUAAUUCUGUCCAGAUUCAUUUGAAGCAUAUCCCUUCCUGAAGAUCCAGUAAUAAUUUCUAAUCAAGAGAUUACAGGAGCAGCAAGAAGCCAGCUGGUCUAGGCCGUGUAACUCUUGGUGCAAGGUGAAUACAGAGGAAGUGGCAUUCUAUGCCUAAGAGAGAUUGGACUCAUUUAUACAGCCAUAAUUCUACAAUUUCUGCAACUUUUUCUAUGUGUAUCUUCUGUAUGAUACAGUCCCAACAUUGCCAAAGUUCUGUUUUCCUAAGCCAUGCUGAUGACAGCUUAGGUUUGCUGCCUCUCCUUCAGCAUGCCUCCAAAUCCCUGUUGGUGUCACUGAAGCAAUUUGUACACAAGAACAAAUGCCUUCAAAAUGAGCACGGC
rnacentral:lncRNA from 1 species